CUUUACUGUAGCUUUGCAUUGGACUGUGAACCGAUCUGUGUAGGAUAGGUGGGAGGCUUUGAAGCCGGGACGCUAGUUCUGGUGGAGCCAACCUUGAAAUACCACCCUGGUUUGUUUGCGGUUCUAACCUUGACCCGUUAUCCGGGUUGGGGACAGUGCAUGGUAGGCAGUUUGACUGGGGCGGUCUCCUCCCAAAGCGUAACGGAGGAGUUCGAAGGUACGCUUGGUACGGUCGGACAUCGUGCCUAAAGUGCAAGGGCAAAAGCGUGCUUAACUGCGAGACUGACAAGUCGAGCAGGUACGAAAGUAGGACCUAGUGAUCCGGUGGCUCUGAAUGGAAGGGCCAUCGCUCAACGGAUAAAAGGUA
rnacentral:rRNA from 1 species